rnacentral:rRNA from 1 species
CCCUUAGACGUUCUGGGCCGCACGCGCGCUACACUGACCAGUGCAACAAGCAUCCGUCCUUGGCCGACAGGCUCGGGCAAUCUUUGAACGCUGGUCGUGAUGGGGAUAGACUUUUGCAAUUUUUGGUCUUCAACGAGGAAUUCCUAGUAAACGCAAGUCAUCAACUUGCAUUGAUUACGUCCCUGCCCUUUGUACACACCGCCCGUCGCACCUACCGAUUGAAUGGGCCGGUGAAGCCUCCGGAUUGGCGCGCACCUCGGUGCCGCCGAGAAGUUGGCUAAACCUUACCAUUUAGAGGAAGGUGAAGUCGUAACA